rnacentral:rRNA from 1 species
AGAGUUUGAUCCUGGCUCAGAAUCAACGCUGGCGGCGCGCUUAACACAUGCAAGUCGAACGAGAAAGUCCCGCAAGGGAUGAGUACAGUGGCGAACGGGUGAGUAACACGUGACUAACCUGCCCUCGAGUGGGGGAUAACUCCGGGAAACCGGGGCUAAUACCGCAUAACACCUUGGUCUGAAACGGCCGAUGGUCAAAGGGGUAAGACGCUCGAGGAGGGGGUCGCGGCUGAUUAGCUAGUUGGCGGGGUAACGGCCCACCAAGGCGAUGAUCAGUAGCCGGCCUGAGAGGGCGCACGGCCACACUGGAACUGAAACACGGUCCAGACUCCUACGGGAGGCAGCAGUGGGGAAUUUUGCGCAAUGGGGGAAACCCUGACGCAGCAACGCCGCGUGGAGGAUGAAGUCCCUUGGGAUGUAAACUCCUUUCGACCCGGACGAUCCUGACGGUACGGGUAUAAGAAGCCCCGGCUAACUACGUGCCAGCAGCCGCGGUAAAACGUAGGGGGCCAGCGUUGCUCGGAAUUACUGGGCGUAAAGGGUCCGUAGGCGGUGCGGCAAGUCGGAAGUGAAAUCUCCGGGCUUAACUCGGAGGCUGCUUCCGAAACUGCCGUGCUAGAGUGCGAGAGAGGCGAGUGGAAUUGCGGGUGUAGCGGUGAAAUGCGUAGAUAUCCGCAGGAACAUCCGAGGCGAAAGCGGCUCGCUGGAUCGCAACUGACGCUGAGGGACGAAAGCUAGGGGAGCAAACAGGAUUAGAUACCCUGGUAGUCCUAGCCCUAAACCAUCAGGACUUGGGGUUUGCCCUGUACGGGGCAAGUCCCGGAGCUAACGCGUUAAGUCCUGCG